rnacentral:rRNA from 1 species
GAAUUUUGCGCAAUGCUCGUAAGAGUGACGCAGCGACGCCGCGUGAAUGACGAAGGCCUUCGGGUCGUAAAGCUCUGUCCUCAAGGAAGAUAAUGACGGUACUUGAGGAGGAAGCCCCGGCUAACUACGUGCCAGCAGCCGCGGUAAUACGUAGGGGGCUAGCGUUAUCCGGAAUUACUGGGCGUAAAGGGUGCGUAGGUGGUUUCUUAAGUCAGAGGUGAAAGGCUACGGCUCAACCGUAGUAAGCCUUUGAAACUGGGAAACUUGAGUGCAGGAGAGGAGAGUGGAAUUCCUAGUGUAGCGGUGAAAUGCGUAGAUAUUAGGAGGAACACCAGUUGCGAAGGCGGCUCUCUGGACUGUAACUGACACUGAGGCACGAAAGCGUGGGGAGC